rnacentral:rRNA from 1 species
CACCGCGGUUAUACGAGAGGCCUAAGUUGACAGACAGCGGCGUAAAGAGUGGUUAAGGAAAGCACAAAACUAAAGCCGAACGCCUUCAGAACUGUCAUACGUCUUCGAAGGUAUGAAGCCCAACCACGAAAGUGGCUUUAUUCCCCCUGAACCCACGAAAGCUAAGGAA